rnacentral:rRNA from 1 species
CGAUAACGAACGAGACCUUAACCUGCUAAAUAGUUAGGCCAACGUUUGUUGGUCGUCAACUUCUUAGAGGGACUAUUGACUAUUAGUCAAUGGAAGUUUGAGGCAAUAACAGGUCUGUGAUGCCCUUAGAUGUUCUGGGCCGCACGCGCGCUACACUGAUCAAGUCAACGAGUCUACAACCUUGGCCGGAAGGUCUGGGUAAUCUUUUGAAACUUGAUCGUGCUGGGGAUAGUCCAUUGCAAUUAUUGGACUUCAACGAGGAAUUCCAAGUAAGCGUGAGUCAUCAGCUCGCGUUGAUUACGUCCCUGCCCUUUGUACACACCGCCCGUCGCUACUACCGAUUGAAUGGCU